GGAUAGUGUGAGAAGACCCAACAGAAGUUGGAAAAGCUGUGAGUGCGUGAUGGCGGAUAGUGUGAGAGACCCAGCAGAAGUUGGAAAAGAUGUGAGUGCGGGAUGGCGGGAUUGCAACCUCGCCAAUAUAGCUUCUCUGUUGCAGGAUUGACCUUGAUUCUCUCUUCCUUAGGAAAGGAAAAUGAUAACUCCCUUUGAUUUUCAAGUAAUUUCUAGUGUCAACUCUAUUCUUCAAUUUAUUUUCCUUUCAGCUUCUAGCACUUUUUUUCCCCAAUUUUGGGUCUCUGUAAUUGAUGUUUUUUUUUUUCUCUUUUGUUCUGUUAUUCUCUGAAAGUUGUAACUUUUGAGUUUGGAUUUUGGUGUUUGGUUAUUUUUGUGAUGUGGGUUUUAAUAUUAGAACAAGAAUUUUUCAGUUUUGUGUUAGAUCCAAACUGUUUGACAUCUUUUCAUUUGCAUCUUAUUGUCUGAAUAAUUUUCUCUGCUCAACGUUGAAAAUUUUCUUUCCAAGUCUUUUCCCACCUGUAAU
rnacentral:lncRNA from 1 species